rnacentral:rRNA from 1 species
ACUAGCUAACUGAAAUCACAAAAUCACAAAUUGUGCUUAUUGUGAUAACGUAAGGGAAAAAAUUGAUAUUACCUUACUAUAAGUGUUGUCUAAAUAACUGGUGCCAGAAGACUCGGUAACACCAGAAACGCGAACGUUAGUCGUCUUAAACAGGCGUAAAGGGUAAGUAGGCUGCUUUAAUUUCUAUUUUUAAUUAAGCUAAUUAGUAAUAUUAACCCUGGCAGUCUUCUGUUGUUUUAUUUUAACAAUUAGAAUAAGAAGCAAACCUAAAAAUUUUUCAGACUUUAAUCUAUAAAUUAAGGCUAACUUUCAAUGAAAAUAAGGUGCUUCUAGCUCCGAAAGAGCAAAUAAAGACUGACAGAAUAAAAAUUUUCAAAAUAGAAACAUUUAAAGCUAGAAUCAUAAUUGAGAUAAACCAAAUAAUACUUAAGUGUAAGGGCGAUAUCUGAAAAUACUAAGUAGAAUACUAACGGUGAAAACUUUUUAUCUGGUAAUGAUUGACGCUGAGGUACGAAAGUGAGAACAGGGAAUAGGAUUAGAUACCCAGUUACCUCUCACCGUCAACGAUGAAUGGUAGUUAUUAGUUUAAUUUAAUUAGUGACGAUGUUAACGCGAUAACCAUUCCGCCUUGAGAGUACGGUUGCAAAACUGAAACCAAAAAAAUUAGUCGGUCUCGGAGCAACGGAUGAGCAU